UCUCAUAAUCUGAUAAUGGAGGGUUCCUUAGGAUUCCUUUUCCUCACUUUUCUAAUUAUUCCUCUUCCUCAUUUCUUCAUUUUCUGCACCGGACACACUCACUCUGAGGUUCGUUGCAUCGAUAGCGAGCGACAUGCCCUUCUCACCUUCAAGCAAGACCUUAUUGAUCCUUCAAACCGGCUCUCCUCUUGGACAUUUGAUGGGGAUUGCUGUCGCUGGGUUGGUGUUGUCUGCCACAACCUCACUGCUCACAUUCAACAACUCCAUCUCAGAAGCUUCCCUCCUGAUUGGGAUGUUUUUACGACUCAGGGACAAAUUGAUGCCUAUGAGCGGUCAAUGUUUGGUGGUAAGCUAAAUCCUUCUCUGCUUGAUUUGAAGCAUUUGAAUUACUUUGACCUCAGCUUCAAUAAUUUCUCUGCUUCUCCUAUUCCUGAAUUUCUAGGUUCAAUGAAGAGUUUAACUUCUCUUAAUCUCUCUAAUGCGAGAUUUGUGGGACUCAUACCUCAUCAACUUGGAAAUCUCUCCAAUUUGCUCCAUCUCAAUCUCGAAAGUUCUCGUUUUCUUGGUUUAUAUGUGAAUAACCUUCAAUGGCUUUCUGGUCUUCCUUUGCUACAACAUCUGGAUAUGAGUGGUGUAGAUCUUAGCAAAGCCUCUGAUUGGCUACAAGUCACAAAUACACUCCCUUCCUUGUUUGACUUGCGCUUGUCAUCUUGCCAACUUCCUUUCAUUCCACCGACACUCACUGUUAACUUUUCAUCUCUCCUCACCCUCGAUCUUUCAGAGAACCAAUUUGAAAACACUUUGAUCCCAUCAUGGAUCUUUGGUCUUCGUAAUCUUGUUUCUCUUCGUCUAUCUGAAAAUAACUUUCAAGGUCCAAUCCCUGUUGAUCUCCAAAACAUGACUUCUCUUAGUCACCUCGAUCUAUCUAAUAACCAUAUCAACUCUUCAAUUCCCAAUUGGUUGUAUAGUUUUAGAAGUCUUGAGUUUCUCAACCUUCAAUUCACUAAUUUGCAGGGAACAAUCUCCAGUGCCAUUGGAAACCUAACCUCUGCCAUUAGUAUUGACUUGUCAUUCAAUGAACUUGGAGGAAAGUUGCCAAGAUCAUUGGGUAAUCUUUGUAACUUAAGGGAAAUCAUAUUGUCCAACAACAAAUGGGGUCAAGAGAUAUCUGAAAUCUUAGAAAGUUUAUUAGGGUGUGUUUCAGAUGGACUAGAGAUCUUAGACUUAAGUAAUUCUCAACUUCAUGGUCAGUUGACGGAUGAACUUGGGGUAUUUAAAAAUCUAGUCAAACUUUUUGCUAGGUCUAAUUCAAUAUCUGGUCCAAUUCCAGUGUCUUUAGGAAAUCUUUCAUCUUUAACAUACCUGGAUUUUUCAAACAAUCUAUUCAACGGAACUCUCCCUCAAAAUUUUGGACAUUUGAAAAAUCUAGUGAGACUUUAGUUUUGGAAUAAUUCAAUUUCAGGUCCACUUCCGGUGUCUUUAGGAAAUCUUUCAUCUCUGACAUACCUGGAUCUUGGGAAUAAUCAAUUGGAAGGAACCCUCCCUCAAAAUUUUGGACAGCUUUCCAAACUUGAGACUUUACAUAUUGAGUCUAAUAUGUUGAAAGGUGUCGUGUCUGAAGUUCAUUUUUCCAAUUUAACCAGUUUGAGGGGACUUUUUGCAUCUGGAAACCAACUGACUUUAAAAGUAAGUCAAAAUUGGAUUCCUCCUUUUCAGCUUGAGUCUUUAUACUUGCAAUCAUGGAAUUUAGGGCCAAAAUUUCCCCCAUGGCUUUGUUCACAAAGGCAUCUACAGUCGUUAGACAUCUCUGAUACAAGGAUUUCAAAUGUGGUUCCUUCUUCAUUUUGGAACUUGUCUUCUCAGUUUCGACUUUUAAAUCUCUCCCAUAAUCUAAUCCAUGGAGAAAUUCCUGUGAUUUUGUCUGCUUCAGUGAUUGAUUUAAGUUCAAACCAUUUCAAAGGUCCAUUGCCUUGUAUAUCCUCUAAUGUGUAUGUGCUAGAUCUUUCUAACAAUUCAUUCUCUGGAUCUAUUUCUCACUUUUUUUGUUUCAAAGUGAAUGAGCACAAAACCAUAGGAUAUCUCAAUCUUGGAAAAAAUCUUUUAUCAAGAAUAAUACCUGAUUGUUUGAUGAAUUGGAACGACUUGGUGGUCUUGAAUUUGGGGUACAACAAUUUCAGUGGCAUUAUUCCAGCAUCGAUGGGAUCUUUGGCUUCUCUUCAAUCUUUGCACUUAUACAAAAACAAAUUUUUUGGAAAGUUACCAUCAUCUUUGAAAAAUUGUACAGAGUUGGUAACUAUUGAUGUUGCUGAAAAUAGGUUUGCUGGAAACAUACCUUCUUGGAUUGGGCAUAGAUGUACAAGCUUGAUGAUUCUUAACCUUCGCGCAAACUAUUUCCAUGGUCACAUACCAAAAGAACUUUGUGCUCUAGCUUCACUCCAAGUAUUGGACCUUUCACAUAAUAAGCUAUCUGGAAGCAUACCUAGAUGUGUUAAAAAUUUUAGCGCCAUGGCCACAAAUAAUAUUUCAAAUGACCACUUGAAUUCUUAUUCUUCUUUUACUAAUUAUGGUGAAACUCUCCCACUUGAAAGUGCAUUGCUUGUGAUAAAGGGAAACAUUUUUGAGUAUAGCACCAUUCUCCAAUUCGUAAAAAGUAUAGACUUUUCCAAGAAUAGUCUAUCAGGAAAGAUCCCCAUCGAAGUUACUAGUCUCCAAGGAUUACAAUCUUUGAACUUGUCAUAUAAUCUCUUGAUCGGAAGUAUUCCUGAGAAUAUAGGUGCUAUGGGAUCACUGGAAUCUAUUGAUUUCUCUUUGAACCAACUUUCGGGUCAAGUUCCCUCAAGCAUGUCAAGUUUGACAUUUUUAAAUCAUUUGAACUUGUCAAACAACAAUUUGACUGGGAAAAUUCCUUUAAGCACUCAACUACAAAGCCUUGAUCCAUCCAGUUUUAUUGGAAACAAACUGUGUGGACCACCACUUACUAAUAGUUGUACUACAAAUGGUGUAAAACCCAACAUAAGAAGUAAAGAUACUGGUGGACUUGAAGUGGAUUGGUUCUAUGUGAGCAUGUCACUCGGCUCGGUGGUUGGGUUUUGUGGUGUAUGUGGUCCUUUACUAUUCAAUAAGCAAUGGAGAAUGAUGUACUUUCAAUUCCUAGAUCAUAUAGGGUACAAGCUUAAGAGUUUUGUCUUGUAAGAUUCUUAAUAAUUUGUGCAAAUGUUAAAUAUUUUGAUCAUGUUAAAUAUUGUAAGUAAAUGUUGUCUUGAUCAUGUUAAUAUUUUGAUGAUUUCCAAAUAAUCUUUUUGCUAGUUAAUACUUAUAUUAUUAGUUAAUUCACUCCAUUAGCAUAUCUGAAUAUGGUGUUUCUUCCUAUGAACAUCAAUGGCAAUCCAAUUUGUAGUGUCAUGUAAUC